rnacentral:rRNA from 1 species
GUYUUUUAGUAAUUUAUUAAAAGUCUAACCUGCCCAUUGAUUAAAUUAAAAGGCUGCGGUAUUUUGACCGUACAAAGGUAGCAUAAUCAUUAGUUUUUUAAUUGGAAACUUGUAUGAAUGGUUGAAUGAGGCAUUAACUUUUUUAAAAAAAAAAUUGAAUUUUACUUUUUAAUUAAAAGGUUAAAAUAUUAUUAAAAGACGAGAAGACCCUAUAGAGUUUUAUAUUUUUUUUUAUAUUUAUAUUGAUAAAGAUUAAUAACUAUUAUAUAAUAAAAUUUAUUUUAUUGGGGUGAUAAUAAAAUUUAAUGAACUUUUAUUUAUAAUUUUACAUUAAUAUAUGAAAAAUUGAUCCAUUAAUAAUGAUUAUAAGUUUAAGUUACCUUAGGGAUAACAGCGUAAUUUUUUUUUAAGUUCUUAUUAAUAAGAAAGUUUGCGACCUCGAUGUUGGAUUAAGAUUAAUUUUAGGUGUAGAAGCUUAAAAUUUAAGUCUGUUCGACUUUUAAAUUCUU